UGCACGUCUAAGCAGUAAGGCUGAGUAUUAGGCAAAUCCGGUACUCAUUAAGGCUGAGCUGUGAUGGGGAGAAGACAUUGUGUCUUCGAGUCGUUGAUUUCACACUGCCGAGAAAAGCCUCUAGAUAGAAAAUAGGUGCCCGUACCGCAAACCGACACAGGUAGUCAAGAUGAGAAUUCUAAGGUGAGCGAGCGAACUCUCGUUAAGGAACUCGGCAAAAUGACCCCGUAACUUCGGGAGAAGGGGUGCUCUUUAGGGUUAACGCCCAGAAGAGCCGCAGUGAAUAGGCCCAAGCGACUGUUUAUCAAAAACACAGGUCUCUGCUAAACCGUAAGGUGAUGUAUAGGGGCUGACGCCUGCCCGGUGCUGGAAGGUUAAGAGGAGUGGUUAGCUUCUGCGAAGCUACGAAUCGAAGCCCCAGUAAACGGCGGCCGUAACUAUAACGGUCCUAAGGUAGCGAAAUUCCUUGUCGGGUAAGUUCCGACCCGCACGAAAGGCGUAACGAUUUGGGCACUGUCUCAACGAGAGACUCGGUGAAAUCAUAGUACCUGUGAAGAUGCAGGUUACCCGCGACAGGACGGAAAGACCCCGUGGAGCUUUACUGUAGCCUGAUAUUGAAAUUCGGCACAGCUUGUACAGGAUAGGUAGGAGCCUUUGAAACGUGAGCGCUAGCUUACGUGGAGGCGCUGGUGGGAUACUACCCUAGCUGUGUUGGCUUUCUAACCCGCACCACUUAUCGUGGUGGGAGACAGUGUCAGGCGGGCAGUUUGACUGGGGCGGUCGCCUCCUAAAAGGUAACGGAGGCGCUCAAAGGUUCCCUCAGAAUGGUUGGAAAUCAUUCAUAGAGUGUAAAGGCAUAAGGGAGCUUGACUGCGAGACCUACAAGUCGAGCAGGGUCGAAAGACGGACUUAGUGAUCCGGUGGUUCCGCAUGGAAGGGCCAUCGCUCAACGGAUAAAAGCUACCCCGGGGAUAACAGGCUUAUCUCCCCCAAGAGUUCACAUCGACGGGGAGGUUUGGCACCUCGAUGUCGGCUCAUCGCAUCCUGGGGCUGUAGUCGGUCCCAAGGGUUGGGCUGUUCGCCCAUUAAAGCGGUACGCGAGCUGGGUUCAGAACGUCGUGAGACAGUUCGGUCCCUAUCCGUCGUGGGCGUAGGAAAUUUGAGAGGAGCUGUCCUUAGUACGAGAGGACCGGGAUGGACAUACCUCUGGUGUACCAGUUGUCGUGCCAACGGCAUAGCUGGGUAGCUAUGUGUGGACGGGAUAAGUGCUGAAAGCAUCUAAGCAUGAAGCCCCCCUCAAGAUGAGAUUUCCCAACUUCGGUUAUAAGAUCCCUCAAAGAUGAUGAGGUUAAUAGGUUCGAGGUGGAAGCAUGGUGACAUGUGGAGCUGACGAAUACUAAUCGAUCGAAGACUUAAUC
rnacentral:rRNA from 1 species